GACGAACGCUGGCGGCGUGCUUAACACAUGCAAGUCGAACGGAAAGGCCCUGCUUUUGUGGGGUGCUCGAGUGGCGAACGGGUGAGUAACACGUGAGUAACCUGCCCUUGACUUUGGGAUAACUUCAGGAAACUGGGGCUAAUACCGGAUAGGAGCUCCUGCUGCAUGGUGGGGGUUGGAAAGUUUCGGCGGUUGGGGAUGGACUCGCGGCUUAUCAGCUUGUUGGUGGGGUAGUGGCUUACCAAGGCUUUGCCGGGUAGCCGGCCUGAGAGGGUGAACGGCCACAUUGGGACUGAGAUACGGCCCAGACUCCUACGGGAGGCAGCAGUGGGGAAUAUUGCACAAUGGGCGGAAGCCUGAUGCAGCAACGCCGCGUGCGGGAUGACGGCCUUCGGGUUGUAAACCGCUUUCGCCUGUGACGAAGCGUGAGUGACGGUAAUGGGUAAAGAAGCACCGGCUAACUACGUG
rnacentral:rRNA from 1 species